AGUAAUUGAAUUUUAAUUCUCGUUUUUUACCAUGAUUUUUAUGUUUUUCUAUGUUUUGUUGGUAAAGGUUACUAUGAGCUUUCUAGGCUAAAUUUUCGAGACUAGUUCAAGGUGAAGUCUUAAAUUAUAAUAUAAAUAUGUUCUAAAUCCUUCUCUAGCACUCAUUAUCAUAUAAUAUCGAUGAAUUAUUGUUGGUAAUUUUUGGUCAAAAUUAAGGAUUGUAUGUACUUGAGUAGAAUUGCUGGAAUUGUGUUGAUUCUCACAUGCAUUGAUAGUUUUCUUGUAUCCUACGUAUUUGUGUGAAUGUAUAUUUUAUGAACACUCACUAGGAUUGUACAUAACAAAUAUGUCUCUUUCCAUUGCAUUCUUUGUAUUUGUGUAAAUGACUAUUUAGACACUUGUGAUGAGUUGCAUGAUUCUCUCAAUUGAUACUUGAGUCCCUUGCAUCCAAGAUGUUGGAUUCAUUAGUCAAAAUUCAAUGCAAUUCAUUGAUAUAUGUUUUAAGUAUGUUAUGUUUUUACCUCUGUAUAUUCCGAUUAACAUCAUAAUUCUCGUGACUAGUUAGUUGUGUACUAAAGAGAAAAGGAAUUAGACAUUCAGAUUAUAAUUGAGACGGCCUCAUAUCCCUAGAUCGAUUGAUCAUUCACACCUACUUUUCAUCUUCUUAUAUCUACUAUCGAUGCUCACAAUUCUUUUAAUUUGGUUAUAACUAAAUCCUUGUGAAAAAAUGACCUUGGUUCUUACCAAGUAUUAUAUAUGUUACCUUGAUUUCUAACUCUACGUUUAGAAUUCCAAACUAAUAUAGGAGCUCAAGGACAAGCAGCGGGAUUAGUGGCUGUGUUUAAUUGCAAUCAAUUCAAGAGUUGAAAGGCUAAUGUGGUUAACAUUUUUGUUUGAGGCCUAAAUUAGGAAUCAGUGAAUAAUUUAAGAGGCAAAGUAAUUAAUUUAAAUUCAAAAGUAUGAACUUGACCGGAUGUUAAUGAUAAGAAGUCGAAGGCUUAGGCUCUGUUUGGUAUCAGCUUUUUGGCUGGCUUUUUUUAAAUUUAUAAGCAAAAAGUCGGUCAGAGUUAGCUUUUUUAUUUUUUUAUUUUAUUUAUUUUUAGUUAAAGUAGAGCAAAAAAAGUAAAAAAAUAAAAAAUCUUAAUUUUUUUGAUAGUAAGAUUAAAAAUAACUUGGUUUUUAAGUAUUACCAAACGGAGCCUUAAUCCAGGUGGUUAUGCUUAACUAAGACUAAGUUCUUGGGUUCAAGCUUAUAAAAAAAUCUUGAUAAUGGUAGAAAUGUAAACCUUUGUCGUCAGAAAAAAUAAAAGAAUAUAGUGUAAUUUCAAUGACUGUAGAGGAUGCUUCUGUUAUUGUCAAAUAUCCCAAGGUGGUCUGUGCAAUUUUCUAUACUGUAAAGUAAAUCUUUGUUUGAAAAUUGUGAAUCCAGCAGCUCUAUAAAAGCACCCUGUUUUGGCGUCCGGAAGAUGCCUCGGUCCUCGGAUUGGGCCAUCUCCCGGAUUUCUCUUCCCUCUUCUCUCCUCCCCGGGUUUGGCGACCUUUUGCUCUCCUUGAUUUCUUCCGCCGAUCGGACUCCAAAUCCAAGCCACAUCCGGAAGGCCUGGGACGGACGGGGUAGCCCCCUUCCUUGGUCACGCGGGCCUCUGCGUGGUAGUGAAAAUACUAUUUGUUGGCCCUCGUGCUGGGGGAAGGAGAUAGCCGUGAAGACGGUCGCACCUGCUCUCGUCUCUGGCGAAAUCAGAACUUUGGGAGAACGAAGAUGAACAGGAGGGGAAUUUUAUAUUUUGAUUUGGGUAAAUUAACACUGACACCCACCUGAGGUUAUAGGUUAAAUACAAUAACCUUAACAUUAAGAAACUAUAUUAUAUCCCCAAAGUUUCAAACUUCUAAUAAUAUUCCCUAAUUGAACCCCCAAAAAUAUUUCUAAAUUAUAAUAUUAAUAUUUUAAAUUUAUUUCUUAUUUGAUGUUAUUUUAUUUUAUUUAUUUUCUUUUGAAUUUCAUCCAGAACUCGGGUCCUACAACUCGGAAUCAAUUUUUUUUUGGAGUAUACUGAAUUUUUUGGUAUGAAUUUAAUUAUUUUAUACAUUUUUCUUUGUUUUUAAUUUAUAAUUACUAAAUUAGAGAGAAAUGCUAAGAUGACCAAAUGGAUUUGCACAAGUUGACUUUUUUGCCUAUAUAAUUAUUAUAUAAUUAAUUUAAAAUUAAAAAUAAUUUCAUCAAAUAAAAAUUGAAUGAUAUAUUUUAAAUUAUAUCUAAUAUUUAAAGUUAAAAAUUUUAUUUUAAUCAUCUAAAUAUUAUUAAAUAUAUAUUUUUAUCUAAUAAAACGAAAUGAUAUUUCACAUUAACGGAAUUAAUUAAUGAAGUGGGAGGUAAUUUUUUCUUUACAUCUUAUCCCAUCAUAUCCACUCUAAUCCGAAAUCCUCUUUCUUAAAAACACAUCCAAACACCAAACUAUAAAUCUAUACCAUUCUUAAAAGGUGGGCCCCCCCCCCCCCCCCC
rnacentral:lncRNA from 1 species